GGGUCGGUAGCGAAGCGGCCAAACGCACCAGACUGUAAAUCUGGCGUCUUAGACUUCGGAGGUUCGAAUCCUCCCCGGCCCA
rnacentral:tRNA from 1 species